AUGUGCGUCAUUUCUUUUGGUCACCAAGUAGGUGUUUCUCCGACCAGCAACAACAAAACUCCACACUUUCUCAAUUGCGCUGUGAUUGGUUCAUGUCCACCAAGGCCGUUGCAUUGGUCGUGGUACUCGGCUUCCUUUGGGUUUGCUUGCUGUCGAGGAAGAAGAAAGGCUAAAGCUAACUACGUAUCUGCACCACGAUUGCUCGCUGGGGAUAUAGAUGUAUUCCUAACAUCAGGUUAUUACCACACCAUAGCAGCUGCUCGCUGGGAAUAUAGAUAUAUAUUUCAUUUUGCAGGUUUGAAACAAGCUGGUUCCUUUAUAUGA
rnacentral:rRNA from 1 species